rnacentral:rRNA from 1 species
UACGUAGGCAGCAAGCGUUGUUCGGAGUUACUGGGCGUAAAGGUGCGUAGGCGGCCUUAUAAGUAUGGUGUGAAAUCUCCCGGCUUAACUGGGAGGGUGCGCUAUAGACUGUGGGGCUAGAGUGUGGGAGAGGAAAGUGGAAUCCUGGUGUAGCGGUGAAAUGCGUAGAUAUCAGGAGGAACACCGGUGGUGUAAACGGCUUCUGGACCAUAACUGACGCUGAGGCACGAAAGCGUGGGUAGCAAACAGG